GGGGGUGUAGCUCAGUGGUAGAGUGAGUGGUUAGCAUGCAUGAGGCCCCGGGUUCAAUCCCCGGCACCUCCA